rnacentral:rRNA from 1 species
GUCCACGCCGUAAACUAUGGAUACUAGCUGUUGGAAGCAAUUUCAGUGGCUAAGCGAAAGUGAUAAGUAUCCCACCUGGGGAGUACGUUCGCAAGAAUGAAACUCAAAGGAAUUGACGGGGCCCGCACAAGCGGUGGAGCAUGUGGUUUAAUUCGAUGAUACGCGAGGAACCUUACCAAGGCUUAAAUGUAGAUUGACCGGUUUGGAAACAGAUCUUUCGCAAGACAAUUUACAAGGUGCUGCAUGGUUGUCGU